CAUGCUGAGGAACACUGAUGCCACCUUCUAGUGACACUAAAACAUGGUGUAACAAUGGUCCAGAGAGCUCUUGGACACUUAUCUAAGCACCUUUUGGAAACUGCACAGUGUUAUGGUUGAGGAAGAACAGCAACAACCCACUAGCCCUCAAAAUAUCAUGAGACAGAGAGAUGCUUCUCUUGGGUGGUUUUGGAAACUAUCUACCCUGUUGCCAUGGUUAUGAGACAAAAGCUGGUCUAAAAUGGCUCCUAUGUUAGCGUCUGGGCAGGGCCCUAACCACCCGUCUCCAUCAUUUUCUCUACUGCCUACUCCUUCCUCUCCUCCCAGAGAGGGCCGUAAGGACACUGCAUGGCUUCUGGUAUAGUCACUGCGCCGAGCUUAAGGUUGGGCCAGCUCCACGAAUUGCUCCUGCCUCCACCUGCUCACUCUGCACAGAGAUGCUGUUGCCUGAGCUCCCUUCACCUUCUCUCUGACACCUGGCUGGCUGUCACUGCCUUUCCCUGCAUGCAGAGGUAGUGGCUGGCAUUAUGGAUAAAUUACUUAAUAUAGUCUUGUUGCUGUGGAAUUCACUGAGUGGAACAGAAUUGAGGAUGCAAAGUGAGAAAGCUGAGGGGUGAGAGUCGAGAUGUUCUCAGAAUAUCCUCAAAAGUGACAGCGUUGCAAAGAAGCUGGGAGAGGCGAAGGAAAUAAAAGGAAUGGUGGAUACGAGUGAAGGUUAAAAUGAGAUGCUGUUUCUUCCGUAAUUAAAGCAGUAGCAUAGGAAUUGAGGUAAUUGAAACUCAGUUCUCCUCUGUAUGGUAUUAAUAUUUUCCCAAUCAUUUGUGUUUCUUUUCCUGUUUCCUGGAUAUGGAAUUAAGUACUGUGACUUAAGUACUGAUUAGCUAGGGGAGGUCCUUCCCCCUCCUCCUUCUCUCCUGGGUGGCCCUGUCUUCCCUGCUUCCCUUCUGAAUUAACCUGUUCUUCACCCGGAUAUUAACAUUAUCCACCCCACCCCUGCCCCUGUCAUUCAAGGUUGGUGUUUCAUUUUUAGCCCUGAAAUAUACAUGAAUUAGACCACCAGAAUAUUCACUGAUAAAUCUUGUGAAAAAACAAAGAAAGGAAACUUUGUGAGUCAGAAGAGAAAAAACUAGUGAGUCACUAAAAGGGGGGGGGUGUUUCUAUUCUAUUAAUCUCAGCUACACAGUAUAUAAUUACUUCCACAUGAAAGAUUUUCAGUUUUCAUCCAAAUAAUGUAUAUAAAACCGUGAACAAGUCAAACUAUAAACAAACGGGGCACAUUUAAAAAGUUACACUUAGUGUUGAGCUUGGAGACAUUGCAUUGAUUUCUGAUAAAUUAUUGUGCGUUGACCUUUUCCCUUGGUAAUUUCUUUCCAUAUUACGUUUCCCAAAAAAGUCAGUUCGAGCUCAUAAUUGCCUUCAGAGGGGAGGGUGUGCGUGCAUGUGUGUGUGUAUUGAGUGGAAUGUGCUGGGUUCGAGAGGCAUAGUGGAAAGCUGCCAAUUUACUUUGAAAUUUAGAUGUAUGUUACCCAUGACCUUAACCAGUUUUCUAUUUUAAUUUGGGAUAUCUGGGGUUCAUGGGACCCAUUCUUCCCAUGUUGCUGCCCCCGCCACGACUUACUGUUUGUAGUGUCUUUGUCAUUCAAUCAGGAAUUCUCUGGAGCAGACAGGCGGACUCUAGUGGCAGUCAGUGGAUCCCAACGUGGAUCUAGCCUGUUGGAAGCAAAAUGCAUGCUUGAGUCUCAUGGUCACAUACAAAUGACAUAGGAGGGGUGACAAUCUUAUAGGAAUUUAGAAGCUCUCUGGGCUUUUUUUUGUACACUAGACAAAUGUCUCGGAUGUUUGAACUUCUAUUAUCGUGUCUGUUUACUUAAACUUAAGUCUAAAACUGAAUUUACAUUUUUUUUUCUCUAAACAUUUAUCCUUCUAAAUUUCCUUAUUGUGUUUUGGUGAUAUUAUGGUCCCCAGCCCCUCCGUUUUCCAGAUUUUUUUUUUCAUAUAUUUACUCAAUUCAGUUAUUUAUUCAACAAAUAUCUAUCCAGUUGGUGUGCUGAGUGGGGCACUCUGGGGUGGGAGGCAAGGCUGGCCCUGUCCUCAGGAGUUUAUGACUCAGCAGGCCUUCCUGGCAGCCUCUCUCCUGCCUGUCCCCCACGCCAGGCGCGCCUGUGUCUUCAGUUUCGUCCUUUCCACCCACCGUAGGGGUCUCCUCCACCAAGCCAGGCCCGCGGCAGUGCUCAGGGGCUUCCCUCAGCCUGGAAGUUAAACCUUUGUAAUGCAGUUUCCCACUGUCUAACCUGUUCCAGCGGCACUCAGGCCUGGCUGGGCACCUCAUUUUUCGUGGUCUGUUUGUCUUUGACACAGAUGCCCAGGAACCCGCCUGUAGAGUGAGUGAGUCAGUAACGUUCCUGGUAGGUUCCUGCUGCCUUGAAAAGGCCGCCGUUGUCCUUUCCUGGGCAGUCUGCACACCCCGGGUAGGUGAUCCGGAUCCACAAGCAUCGUCCUUCAGAGACGUCACGUCACCCGCCUCCCUGCCUCUGAGUCUCUGCCCAGCCUGCUGGCGUUUCUCCCCUUCUCCAAGCCCAAAGCCCGUUCCGAGCCCCGAGGGCAAAUGCCCUGCUUGACGCCCCCUGGACGCUCCCAAGGAUUAAUAACUCUGUUCAAGUCAGACUUGCCAUAGCCUCUUCCUUAUCUCAACAGCUGAGGUGCGCAACUGUCCCACCCAAGGGACUCAGUAGAACCUACCUUGUUAUUUUAUAUUUGAUUACAUUUUUAUUUUGUGCAUUCCAGUUUUUAUCCAUAAUUUUGUAAAUUCAAUGGAAAUAGAGAGGCUCUUGUAUCUUUUCUGCUCCCCAGCACAUCAGACUACGUGCUGUACAAAACAGAUGCCCAACAUGCUCUUGGCCCCUUCCCUCCAUCUAAAAAUCCCUCUUGUAUUUCUAUUUUCUCCUCUUCCUUCUUCCGUCUAGUCUCUCUCACCCAUCCUAUAAGGUUUCUGUCAUUGGAAGGACUCACGUGUUUAGACUGAGCCCACUCAGAUCACCCAAAAUAAUCUCGAUAUUUUAAAGUCAGCUGAUUAGGAAGCUCAAUUCCAUUGGUGACAUUUAUUAUUCCUUUUUGCCAUGUAAUGUUACAUACCAGCAGCCCCGGGAGGCAUUAUUUGAAUCCCUAUUUUAUAUAUGAGAAGCAAGAGGCACAGAGGAUUCAGUGACCUUGUGUCUGAUCCUGAGCUAGUCAGAGCCAGGACUCAAACCAGCCGGCUGGCCCCAGGGUCUUGCUUCUAACCUCAUGCCACAUGCUUCCUCCUAAAAGGAAUCCGGGCUUUGUGAGUCUUCACAAAUUCCCUUUUAAGAGCUCCAGGAUUCCCUUUCACAGUGACAGUCUUUUUGAAAAUCCCUAUUUAACAGGCAUGCACUCCAUUAAUAAAGGAAAAGCAUUUGACAAUUUACAAAGCUAUUUUCAGUUAAUCCUCCAAAUAACUAAAAAAAGUAUUAAGACUAUUCUUGUUUUAUAGGUGAAAAAAAAAAAUAACCAAGCCUUGAUUAAGUGGUUUCUCCAGGCACCGCAGCUACUAAGUAGUGACAGUAAGAGCAGGCCAGUACCUAAAAGCUGGCGCUAACACGGGGUGGUGGAAUCCGCGCAGCUUUGGGGUGUGAGUAUCAGACGUGAGGCUGCAAAGCCCGUGACUUGGAAGGGAUGGAACGUGGGGCCAGCUCCGGUCCGGGCACAGCCCCCUCUGUGCCAGCGUGCAGGGUGGCCUAGGAAGGAAGGACGGCACUGCUACUGUCCCUCUCCUCCUACCAGGUCACCGUGCUCUUCCCGUCUCCGUCUGCGGCCAGAGUUGAUUUUGCCAUCACAAUUAGAUCAUGACAGACCCCACUUAGAACCUGCAGCAGCAUCCAGCGUCUGUGGACAGAGAACAAUUCUGUCCACAGAACAAUUUAAAGGGCGACCAGGCCCUUUAAAAGGUGUGUCCUGAUCAUUUGCUUGGGCAUCAUCUCUGACCAUUUCUUCCUACACACCAUGUGUGUCCAUCGUGAGUGUUGCUCUGGGCUUGCUCCUCUCACAUCUGUGUCACCCGCACCACCGCUCCUUCUGGAUGCCUUUGCCUUUUCACCCUGGGAAGCUUCAUUCACGUUUAGGGUUUGGUUCGCGUGCAGCCUCCGAGUGUGUUUCCGGGAGACAGGAGACCAUUCAUUGCUCACGGUCUGUGCAGCCACAGUUCUUUGUGCUGAACUCCUGCUGACUACACUGGCAUUCCUGUGCCCUUCUGUCCCUCCCACUAGCCUGUGACAGCCUUGAGGCCAGGACAUGUCAUCUGACUCACCUUUGUGUAAGUAUUAGUUCCUUCUCACCCAUCUUUCAUGCCCAGUGAUAGAGAGGAAGUUCUUGGUACAUCUGCAUUUUAUCAAGUGUUCAACUCUUGCCAUGUCAGGGAAAGAGAAAAUAGCAACUACUGGGGGCCAGCAAAGCCCCUGUACCCUGUCUGUCUCCCAGGGCCAGGGCACGGCUACACUGUGUCGGAAAACACAGAAAACAAGCUAUUCCAAUCCUCUCUUGCAGAAAGUCCAAGAAACACUUGAAAUUCUAGCUUUCUCUUCUCUCCAGGGAAAGGACCCCCAUCGCGCGUGUCUCAUUUCUUCAUUGACACUCUCCCCUCCCGCCUCCAGGAAAGCUGUGACUCUGUUCCCACCAACGAGUAUAAAGUGAUUCGGUUCCUUGAUGAGAACAGAGGUGCACUUUAAGAGUGCUAUCCAGCUGUGGAUCGUCGCCUCGCUGCAGUUUGCAGUCCUAGUUGCAGGGGCAGCAGGAAUGACAGCAAUCACCAGUCCAACCAGUCAACCCUCUCGAGUUAUGUGUUCCUGGAAAAAUUAGUGUUUCUGUUUCCUCUUCUACGGAAUGCAGGGAAUGGCUAUGUUCAACUGAAUAAAAAGCACACAGUGAUUGUAUAGAAACAGGCUGGGGGGAGGGAUGAGUGACACAACGCAGGUUAAAAUAUUCCGCACUGUCCCACGCUAAGCACUCGAUAGAGAAUAGUCACAGUGACACACUAUCUUCAUCACAGGGAGAUAGAUAUUCUGGAAAGAUUUCCUGGGAAUAAGCUGGGGAGGAGUUACUGGCGUGAAAGUGAGCUGGGGCCUGGGGUGGGGGCAGGGCUCCCGGAGGUGCUGACCGGAAGGGCUGAAUGGUCCAGGGAGACCUGGCUGAAGAGCAAGUGGCCCUGAGGGAGAGUUUGGGUUCCAACUGUCACAUUUUCCCCCAUGCUGUUUUGUUACCUUAAAAUCAUUUCAUUGCUGUGAGGCAUCGGAAUAAAACCUUAAAGUUUUCUCAACAGAGAAAACGCGUUUAUAUAUCAGUUUGCUUUUUGAUCAUUCCGUGGUGUCCUAGCUCAAGGAUUUAUACGUGCUUACUGCAUGACCCUAAGGGUCUGGUCAGCAUUCACUCGGGAAUCAACCUCAAGGAAAUCUUUAUCUCUAGGGCGUCUGAAGUUUGCUUUCUGUGACUUUGUGUGUGAGAGUGGCCCUCCUGUGUGCUGCUUCUUUUUCUGUCAAUGGCAAGCUAAGAAUCCCAACUUGGAAAAUGUGACUAUUCAUUUGCUUAAUUAUCACAUUAACCAGUGGUCCCCAACCUUUUGGAAGACAAUUUUCCAAGGACUGGGGUGGGGGGUGGGCUAGGGAGGCCGACUCAGGCCGUGAUGCCAGGGACAGAGCGGCUGUAAAUACAGAUGCGGGUUUGCUUAGCUUGCCUUCCACUCACCCCCUGCUGUGCACCCCCCUUUUUUCCCCGCCCCCUUCCUAAGUUUCACAGAAGACAAUUUUUCCACGGACUUGGGGGGGGGUGCGGCAGAGCUCUUGGACCAGUCUACAACAGGCUGAGGAUUAGGGGGUGGGGACCACAGACAUAAACCAUUUUUUAAACAUGGAAUCAGUCACUAACAAAUCCUUCUGGGCUGUUUCCUUUGUCUGGACUCCCCGUCUACCGGGAUUUUUCUGUAGUUUUAUGAUAUACAGCAGUUUCCCUUAUCCAUGGGGGAUACGCUCCAAGACCCCAAUGGAUGACUGAAACCACCACAGUACUGAACCCUACACAUACUAAGUAACAACAAGGUUACUACGUCCAGCUCUUCUGUAAAAUAAAUACCAACCUGUCAUCUCUUUGUAAAAUCACAUACCUAGCUAUAUUUUUUUCAAGCAUAGUUAAAGAAAAAUACCUAUUUUCACAAGGAAUUUGCACAUUCUUUUAUCUAUUAUGUUUAAAUCCUAGCAGCAAGAGACUUAUCAAAGACUCUAUACAGGAAGCUGCAGUGUCUUUCAUCUGGCUACAGUUUUUUUCUUUUUUUAAAGUCAAGUUUCUCAAAGAUAGGUACAGCUGUAGGAUAUAAAUGGCUUCUGAAGAUAUAUCACAUCUGUCCAAAAAUGAAAAUCAUUUUUCAUGCCUAGCAUUUUCUAACUUUCUGAAUUGCUCUGUGAAAGUGUUUUAUUCUCAUGCUAUGAAAGGCAGACAAACCAAAACCAGUGACGGGGAAAAAAAAUAACAAUUUCUAUACAAUUACCAUAUGCUUUAUAUUAAGGUAGCACUGUGCUCCAUAUGCUGCUUUUGGGGGGUUCUUUUUUUUUUACUUUUCUGACUUUUGAACUAAUGCACAAUAUAGGAAAGUGGAUUAUUCAAAGGCACAAGUAGAAGAACAAAUGCUGAUGCGGCCUUGCUGUAGGACACAGGAAGGGAGUGACAGUCACUGAUUCUCUUUCAACUCCAAACUUCUCUUGACUUCUGACCCUGAUCAUGGACGAGCGGAAGUGGAUGACCAGGUCUCUGCUCUACCAUCUGGCAUUACUAAUCUUUUAUGAACAGCAUUAACUAGAGAAAACAUUCACAGAGAUCCGUGUUUCCUACUCUGUCACAGCUGAUGCUAGGAUAAGAUUGCAGUGGCAAACAUUUGUCUCAUUAUUACACGUUUGUUUAUGCAAUCACUUACUCAUUCACUAAUCAACAACAUGGCUGAAUGUGGCUGGUACUCUCCUAGAUACUGGGGACAGAGAGGAACUGCAAGGUGUGGUACUUUUCUUCGGUGAACUCUCAGUCCAAUGGGGGACGCAUAAUAACACGCCCCUGGCAGGGUAUGGUUCUCUCUCCCUUUUGUUUCUUACUUCCUUUCCUCGCUCUAUUGGAAACGGAAAAUUUUAAGCAUAACAAAUGGAGGUUAUGCUAUGAUUAGUGUUCCCAUGAUAGAGAGGGGUUUGUUUCGUAGUUAUUCCAAUUUGAAGAAUGACGGUGGCCACCAGGAACAGGAACAUUUGGGUGGAAGAUUCUCUUCACCGGACCACAAGGAACAGCAGCAGGAUGGAGUUGGGGCACGUGGGAGGACAGGGAGGUGGAAAAGAGGAAGACAAGCUCUCCAAGGGACAGACGGAUGUUUUAGACUGCCGUAUCUUGUUGGCCUUCUGAAGACUGAAGAUGUAACAAAGACAAGAAACGAUUUGCACCAUGGCCUAGAAUUGGAGCAUGCUUGUGAUCAACGAGGAGAAUGUGUGUGUUGUUUUCCCAUACUGGACUCUACCUGCGGGCCCCUCCAGGCACGGCAGGACCAACACAGGGUCACAGCCAUUUCUCUAAAUUUCCCACCGAGAUGAAAAUUUGUAACCUCCUGAGCAGAUGCUACACUAAACUAUGUGGCAAGCAUAGUAAAAUCAGAUUAAGAAUCAUUAGGGCACAUCUGUUAGUUAUCAGAAGGUCAGCCGUACUAGAUAGUAUUAGGUUUGGUUGUUUACAAUAGAAAACCCAAAAUAACAGUGGCCUAAACAUAAAGAUGUAACUCUCAAGAAAAAUAUGUACAGAGCUGGGAAAUUCAGUCCUAGUAUUUUGUUUCCUUGGUAGCCAGGAGCCUAGGUGCCUACUGUCUUUAUGUUCUUCCUUUCUAGAGCUAUCCUUUAAAUUUAAGGUUACCUCCUGUUCCAAGAUGGCUGCUGGAGCACCAGCCUUUAGGCACAGGGCCAGAAGAAGGAAAGAAGGAUUUGAAGCAACUAAAAAAACAGAUAUCAUACCACUGUGUGGAGUAUAUAUGUUUAUUACUUUCCAUCUUAAUUAUCAUCUUUUUCCAUGCUGUCAGUCCUUCCAGGUGUUGCUUCUCGGCCUCUCUGUUCUUCUCAUGAGAAUGGAGGUGGGGAUGAUGCUUUUUCAAGAUCCAUACCAUUCUCCUGUCCCCUUAUUCUCAUUAAUGAAUUAGCUCACUCAUCAAACAGCUACUGAGCACCUAUUAUAUCAAAGGCCCUCUGCUAGUCAUAAGAAACACAAAGAUGAAAAAAUAUUCCUACC